rnacentral:rRNA from 1 species
GGGUUGUGAGGUUAAGCGACUAAGCGUACACGGUGGAUGCCCUGGCAGUCAGAGGCGAUGAAGGACGUGCUAAUCUGCGAUAAGCGUCGGUAAGGUGAUAUGAACCGUUAUAACCGGCGAUUUCCGAAUGGGGAAACCCAGUGUGAUUCGUCACACUAUCAUUAACUGAAUCCAUAGGUUAAUGAGGCGAACCGGGGGAACUGAAACAUCUAAGUACCCCGAGGAAAAGAAAUCAACCGAGAUUCCCCCAGUAGCGGCGAGCGAACGGGGAGGAGCCCAGAGCCUGAAUCAGUGUGUGUGUUAGUGGAAGCGUCUGGAAAGGCGCGCGAUACAGGGUGACAGCCCCGUACACAAAAAUGCACAUGCUGUGAGCUCGAUGAGUAGGGCGGGACACGUGGUAUCCUGUCUGAAUAUGGGGGGACCAUCCUCCAAGGCUAAAUACUCCUGACUGACCGAUAGUGAACCAGUACCGUGAGGGAAAGGCGAAAAGAACCCCGGCGAGGGGAGUGAAAAAGAACCUGAAACCGUGUACGUACAAGCAGUGGGAGCACGCUUAGGCGUGUGACUGCGUACCUUUUGUAUAAUGGGUCAGCGACUUAUAUUCUGUAGCAAGGUUAACCGAAUAGGGGAGCCGAAGGGAAACCGAGUCUUAACUGGGCGUUAAGUUGCAGGGUAUAGACCCGAAACCCGGUGAUCUAGCCAUGGGCAGGUUGAAGGUUGGGUAACACUAACUGGAGGACCGAACCGACUAAUGUUGAAAAAUUAGCGGAUGACUUGUGGCUGGGGGUGAAAGGCCAAUCAAACCGGGAGAUAGCUGGUUCUCCCCGAAAGCUAUUUAGGUAGCGCCUCGUGAAUUCAUCUCCGGGGGUAGAGCACUGUUUCGGCAAGGGGGUCAUCCCGACUUACCAACCCGAUGCAAACUGCGAAUACCGGAGAAUGUUAUCACGGGAGACACACGGCGGGUGCUAACGUCCGUCGUGAAGAGGGAAACAACCCAGACCGCCAGCUAAGGUCCCAAAGUCAUGGUUAAGUGGGAAACGAUGUGGGAAGGCCCAGACAGCCAGGAUGUUGGCUUAGAAGCAGCCAUCAUUUAAAGAAAGCGUAAUAGCUCACUGGUCGAGUCGGCCUGCGCGGAAGAUGUAACGGGGCUAAACCAUGCACCGAAGCUGCGGCAGCGACGCUGAUGCGUUGUUGGGUAGGGGAGCGUUCUGUAAGCCUGCGAAGGUGUGCUGUGAGGCAUGCUGGAGGUAUCAGAAGUGCGAAUGCUGACAUAAGUAACGAUAAAGCGGGUGAAAAGCCCGCUCGCCGGAAGACCAAGGGUUCCUGUCCAACGUUAAUCGGGGCAGGGUGAGUCGACCCCUAAGGCGAGGCCGAAAGGCGUAGUCGAUGGGAAACAGGUUAAUAUUCCUGUACUUGGUGUUACUGCGAAGGGGGGACGGAGAAGGCUAUGUUGGCCGGGCGACGGUUGUCCCGGUUUAAGCGUGUAGGCUGGUUUUCCAGGCAAAUCCGGAAAAUCAAGGCUGAGGCGUGAUGACGAGGCACUACGGUGCUGAAGCAACAAAUGCCCUGCUUCCAGGAAAAGCCUCUAAGCAUCAGGUAACAUCAAAUCGUACCCCAAACCGACACAGGUGGUCAGGUAGAGAAUACCAAGGCGCUUGAGAGAACUCGGGUGAAGGAACUAGGCAAAAUGGUGCCGUAACUUCGGGAGAAGGCACGCUGAUAUGUAGGUGAAGUCCCUCGCGGAUGGAGCUGAAAUCAGUCGAAGAUACCAGCUGGCUGCAACUGUUUAUUAAAAACACAGCACUGUGCAAACACGAAAGUGGACGUAUACGGUGUGACGCCUGCCCGGUGCCGGAAGGUUAAUUGAUGGGGUCAGCGCAAGCGAAGCUCUUGAUCGAAGCCCCGGUAAACGGCGGCCGUAACUAUAACGGUCCUAAGGUAGCGAAAUUCCUUGUCGGGUAAGUUCCGACCUGCACGAAUGGCGUAAUGAUGGCCAGGCUGUCUCCACCCGAGACUCAGUGAAAUUGAACUCGCUGUGAAGAUGCAGUGUACCCGCGGCAAGACGGAAAGACCCCGUGAACCUUUACUAUAGCUUGACACUGAACAUUGAGCCUUGAUGUGUAGGAUAGGUGGGAGGCUUUGAAGUGUGGACGCCAGUCUGCAUGGAGCCGACCUUGAAAUACCACCCUUUAAUGUUUGAUGUUCUAACGUUGACCCGUGAUCCGGGUUGCGGACAGUGUCUGGUGGGUAGUUUGACUGGGGCGGUCUCCUCCUAAAGAGUAACGGAGGAGCACGAAGGUUGGCUAAUCCUGGUCGGACAUCAGGAGGUUAGUGCAAUGGCAUAAGCCAGCUUGACUGCGAGCGUGACGGCGCGAGCAGGUGCGAAAGCAGGUCAUAGUGAUCCGGUGGUUCUGAAUGGAAGGGCCAUCGCUCAACGGAUAAAAGGUACUCCGGGGAUAACAGGCUGAUACCGCCCAAGAGUUCAUAUCGACGGCGGUGUUUGGCACCUCGAUGUCGGCUCAUCACAUCCUGGGGCUGAAGUAGGUCCCAAGGGUAUGGCUGUUCGCCAUUUAAAGUGGUACGCGAGCUGGGUUUAGAACGUCGUGAGACAGUUCGGUCCCUAUCUGCCGUGGGCGCUGGAGAACUGAGGGGGGCUGCUCCUAGUACGAGAGGACCGGAGUGGACGCAUCACUGGUGUUCGGGUUGUCAUGCCAAUGGCACUGCCCGGUAGCUAAAUGCGGAAGAGAUAAGUGCUGAAAGCAUCUAAGCACGAAACUUGCCCCGAGAUGAGUUCUCCCUGACUCCUUGAGAGUCCUGAAGGAACGUUGAAGACGACGACGUUGAUAGGCCGGGUGUGUAAGCGCAGCGAUGCGUUGAGCUAACCGGUACUAAUGAACCGUGAGGCUUAACCUUACAACGCCGAAGGUGUUU